GGGGUCGUAGCAUAAUUGGUAAAUGCCCCUGUCUCAUAAACAGUAGAUAGCUGGUUCAAAUCCAGCGGGCCCCACCA
rnacentral:tRNA from 1 species